GGCGAGGUAGCUCAGUUGGUUAGAGCACAGGACUCAUAAGCCUGGGGUCGGCGGUUCGAAUCCGCCUCUCGCUA
rnacentral:tRNA from 1 species